GGCACAGAGGAGCAUUGCCUGAUGAUGAGCUCAUCCCAGGAAACACGACCUGGCAAGCGCUCCGGCAGCUUGGGGAACACUUCCUAAAAAAGCAAGGCUGCAGUGUUCACACUAGACUUCCUGGAAAUGAAAGGCUUUUCUGAAAAUGGUCUAAGAUGCAUUAGGAUAACACUAAGACCCUGCCCCUAAGAAAGCCCUCCAAGAGUCAGCACUGCCCUGGGGCUGCUCAAGACCACGCCUACAGGCUACUUAAGACCUGGCCGCCAUUCCUGCUGUGUGCUCUCCUGCUCUCUCGCCUGCCUUCCCGAGAACCACCUGGGAGGUGCUUUGCUCUGCUCAGAUUAAACCUGGAUUUAUUAAUUUGA